rnacentral:rRNA from 1 species
UACAGAGGUCCCAAGCGUUGUUCGGAUUCACUGGGCGUAAAGGGUGCGCAGGUGGUCGGGUAAGUCUGACGUGAAAUCCCGCAGCUUAACUGCGGAAUGGCAUUGGAUACUAUUCGGCUAGAGGGUUGGAGGGGGGACUGGAAUUCUCGGUGUAGCAGUGAAAUGCGUAGAUAUCGAGAGGAACACCAGUGGCGAAGGCGAGUCCCUGGACAACUCCUGACGCUGAGGCGCGAAAGCUAGGGGAGCAAACGGG